rnacentral:lncRNA from 1 species
AAAAAGGAUAAACAUUAUGGAUUUCCAUUAUCUCAAGCAAAAACAAAGAGUUCAAAAUAUUAGUGGUAAGAACUGUCAAAAACUUGUGAUAGCUAUGAUGAAGAGAAACAAAGAGUUCAAAAUAUUAGUGGUAAGAACUUUCAAAAACUUGUGAUAGCUAUGAUGAAGAGAUUUGUGACAAAUUCGCUCAUGGCCAAAUCUAAUAUGGCAGCUGGAAAAGGCAAAGGAUCUUUUUAGCCUAACUAAGCUAUACAACUUAAUAAAAGUUUGUGCAUCGACUUCUCACGAAUCAUACACAGAGGCGAUUGUCGAUGCAAUAAUUGCUGAUUCGUGAAAACGGGCAACUUUUGCUUGUCUUAAAGUGCCUUAAAUCCAUCGUUAUAAUAUUACUUUGUUUGUAAAUUGUUUUGAAAAAUAAAUUUAAAAAUAACUUUUAAAUAAA